rnacentral:misc_RNA from 1 species
AAGACUAUAGACCUGCGGAGUACCUGCGGAGGGAUCAUUAACGAGUUAGGGUCCUCCGGGGCCCGACCUCCCACCCUUUGUUGUCGCGAAUUCGUUGCCUCGGCGGGACGGCCGCCCCGGGUGUCACAGCCCGGGCGGCCACCGGGCCCCUCUCUUCGGGGCCCCGGCCAGCGCCCGCCGCGGGACCACACAACUCUUGUCUUUGACCGUACAGUCCGAGCAAAUUUGAAUUAAUAAAUC